UAGCCUUGCGGCCGUACUCCCCAGGCGGGUCACUUAAUGUGUUAACUGCGGCACCCCAGCAAAAGCCGGGACACCUAGUGACCAUAGUUUACGGCGUGGACUACCAGGGUAUCUAACCCUGUUUGCUCCCCACGCUUUCGCGCCUCAGCGUCAGUAUUGUUCCAGGAGGCCGCCUUCGCCAAGGAUGUUCUUCCCGAUAUCUACGAAUUUCACCUCUACACCGGGAAUUCCGCCUCCCUCCCCCAUACUCUAGCUUAGCAGUAUUCAGUGCACUUCCUUAUUUAAGUUAAGGGAUUUCACACUGAACUUACUAAACCGCCUACACGCCCUUUACGCCCAAUACUUCCGGACAACGCUCGCAUCCUACGUUUUACCGCGGCUGCUGGCACGUAGUUGGCCGAUGCUUCCUCUCGCAGUACAGUCAAUGUCAUUCUCUGUUAAAGAACAACACCAUCUUCCCGCUCGACAGAGCUUUACAACCCGAGGGCCUUCAUCACUCACGUGGUAUCGCUGGGUCAGGCUUGCGCCCAUUGCCCAAGAUUCCUCACUGCUGCCUCCCGUAGGAGUCUGGACCGUGUUUAAGUUCCAGUGUGGCUGGUCGUCCUUCCAGACCAGCUACCGGUCAUAGCCUUGGUGAGCCAUUACCUCACCAACAAGCUGAUCGGACACAGGCCCAUCUUCAGAUAAAAGCUUGUAAACAGAGGCCUCUUUGCUGACUAAUAUCUCAAUUAAUCAGGUUAUCCGGUAUUAGUCCCGCUUUCGCGGGAUUAUCCCGGUUCCGAAGGUAGGUUACCCAUGUGUUACUCACCCGCUCGCCGCUUUACUCCUCCGAUUGCUCGGAGUUUCUCGCUCGACUUGC
rnacentral:rRNA from 1 species